rnacentral:piRNA from 1 species
UGAAACAAGGGAACCAGAAUGGCAUGG